CCUACGGGAUGCAGCAGUAGGGAAUCUUCGGCAAUGGACGAAAGUCUGACCGAGCAACGCCGCGUGAGUGAAGAAGGUUUUCGGAUCGUAAAACUCUGUUGUUAGAGAAGAACAAGGAUGAGAGUAACUGUUCAUCCCUUGACGGUAUCUAACCAGAAAGCCACGGCUAACUACGUGCCAGCAGCCGCGGUAAUACGUAGGUGGCAAGCGUUGUCCGGAUUUAUUGGGCGUAAAGCGAGCGCAGGCGGUU
rnacentral:rRNA from 1 species